UGCAGUCGACGAUGAACCUCCUUCGGGAGGGGAUUAGUGGCGAACGGGUGAGUAACACGUGGGCAAUCUGCCCUGCACUCUGGGACAAGCCCUGGAAACGGGGUCUAAUACCGGAUACGACUCGGGAGGGCAUCCUUCCGGGUGGAAAGCUCCGGCGGUGCAGGAUGAGCCCGCGGCCUAUCAGCUUGUUGGUGGGGUGAUGGCCUACCAAGGCGACGACGGGUAGCCGGCCUGAGAGGGCGACCGGCCACACUGGGACUGAGACACGGCCCAGACUCCUACGGGAGGCAGCAGUGGGGAAUAUUGCACAAUGGGCGAAAGCCUGAUGCAGCGACGCCGCGUGAGGGAUGACGGCCUUCGGGUUGUAAACCUCUUUCAGCAGGGAAGAAGCGCAAGUGACGGUACCUGCAGAAGAAGCGCCGGCUAACUACGUGCCAGCAGCCGCGGUAAUACGUAGGGCGCAAGCGUUGUCCGGAAUUAUUGGGCGUAAAGAGCUCGUAGGCGGCUUGUCGCGUCGGAUGUGAAAGCUCGGGGCUUAACCCCGGGUCUGCAUUCGAUACGGGCAGGCUAGAGUGUGGUAGGGGAGAUCGGAAUUCCUGGUGUAGCGGUGAAAUGCGCAGAUAUCAGGAGGAACACCGGUGGCGAAGGCGGAUCUCUGGGCCAUUACUGACGCUGAGGAGCGAAAGCGUGGGGAGCGAACAGGAUUAGAUACCCUGGUAGUCCACGCCGUAAACGUUGGGAACUAGGUGUUGGCGACAUUCCACGUCGUCGGUGCCGCAG
rnacentral:rRNA from 1 species